CUAGUGUGUUUUUGUGUGUGUGUGCGCGCAUGUGUAUGUGCGUGUACACACACACACACACACACACACACACACUGU